UACGUUUGGGAUGGAUGGGAUGCUGCUCUAAUUGUGUCUAAACGAGAGAAGGCUCACCAAGCAGUUAAUCGAGAUAUUUAUGGUACAAACGUUCCAGAAAAAGAAGAUAUAGCAAGGGCGUUGUCACUUGAAGAAUGUGAGAUCCUUCUUGGAAAGCGAAAGGACAGUGAAAUAUCAAAGACUGAAUGGAGAGACAGCAUAACUAGAUAGGUCUAUUUGUUGUUGCAACCUUAUCGGAAAAAGGAAGAAGAUAGCCAUUUGAUUGACUUGAGUUUUAGGAAGGGCAGGCCUAAGGAUUAUUACUGUGACAGAGAAAGGGAAGCCUAUGAGGCAUUUCCGUCCUCAGCAAUGGAAGGAGGAGAUUCCAAUUGGCUGUUCAUGAUUGCAAAGGUUGUUGCAGCAUUAACCUUACAAGCGAUGUCUUAUGUUGGUUUCUGUACUUUCGAAAAACUACUCCCAGAGAGUGCUUACAAUAUCGUUCGCGAAAGUUAUUUUAAUGUUGUCGUCAUAUUUGUGUUGAGUGUUUUUGAUAUGGAAGAUUUUGAGAGAAUAUAUGAACUGAGUAUCGUCAAGGAUGAGUGUGAUCAAGAAGAAAUAAUUUUUU